CCUACGGGAGGCAGCAGUGGGGAAUUUUGGACAAUGGGCGCAAGCCUGAUCCAGCAAUGCCGCGUGCAGGAUGAAGGCCUUCGGGUUGUAAACUGCUUUUGUACGGAACGAAACGGCUUCUCCUAAUACGAGAGGCUAAUGACGGUACCGUAAGAAUAAGCACCGGCUAACUACGUGCCAGCAGCCGCGGUAAUACGUAGGGUGCAAGCGUUAAUCGGAAUUACUGGGCGUAAAGCGUGCGCAGGCGGUUAUAUAAGACAGAUGUGAAAUCCCCGGGCUCAACCUGGGACCUGCAUUUGUGACUGUAUAGCUAGAGUACGGUAGAGGGGGAUGGAAUUCCGCGUGUAGCAGUGAAAUGCGUAGAUAUGCGGAGGAACACCGAUGGCGAAGGCAAUCCCCUGGACCUGUACUGACGCUCAUGCACGAAAGCGUGGGGAGCAAACAGGAUUAGAUACCCUGGUAGUCCACGCCCUAAACGAUGUCAACUGGUUGUUGGGUCUUCACUGACUCAGUAACGAAGCUAACGCGUGAAGUUGACCGCCUGGGGAGGACGGCCGCGAGGUAGUAAACGUACGAAAGAAGUUAGACGGCGUGAGACGUAGCCGACGGACGACGACGAGGGGAGGAGG
rnacentral:rRNA from 1 species